CUGAGGAUUAUUGCAUAUUAGUUCAUAAAUGCAUAUAAUGUAUAUCUAGUAUUGAUAAAUCAAUUUUGCCGUAGAACAAAAGUUGUUGCCAUUGUUUCUCAGAGGAAUUUUGUUAAAAUAUUGUUAUAUUUACCACACUGUAUGAAAUCAGAGCUCUAGCCUACGUUCACAAUCAUAUAUGUUUUGGCGUUAUCAUUUUAUGAAUUCGUUUGUCAUUAUUGCCGUGUGUGUUUG